ACGAACGCUGGCGGCGUGCUUAACACAUGCAAGUCGAACGUUGAAGAAAAGAAUUGCAGCUUCGGCAGAAAUUCAUUUCGGAUUAGUGGCAGACGGGUGAGUAACGCGUGAGCAACCUACCUCUUACAAAGGGAUAGCCUCGGGAAACCGGGAUUAAUACCAUAUAACAUUGCGACGUAGCAUUUCGAUGCAAUCAAAGCUACGGCGGUAAGAGAUGGGCUCGCGUCCCAUUAACCAGAUGGUGAGGUAACGGCUCACCAUAGUAACGAUGGGUAACCGGCCUGAGAGGGUGAACGGUCACACUGGAACUGAGACACGGUCCAGACUCCUACGGGAGGCAGCAGUGGGGAAUAUUGCACAAUGGAGGGAACUCUGAUGCAGCGACGCCGCGUGAGUGAUGAAGGAAUUCGUUUCGUAAAACUCUGUUCUAUGGGAAGAAAAGGACUGUACCAUAGGAGAAAGCUCCGGCUAAAUACGUG
rnacentral:rRNA from 1 species